rnacentral:rRNA from 1 species
GACGAACGCUGGCGGCGUGCUUAACACAUGCAAGUCGAACGGAAAGGCCCUGCUUUUGUGGGGUGCUCGAGUGGCGAACGGGUGAGUAACACGUGAGUAACCUGCCCUUGACUUUGGGAUAACUUCAGGAAACUGGGGCUAAUACCGGAUAGGAGCUCCUGCUGCAUGGUGGGGGUUGGAAAGUUUCGGCGGUUGGGGAUGGACUCGCGGCUUAUCAGCUUGUUGGUGGGGUAGUGGCUUACCAAGGCUUUGACGGGUAGCCGGCCUGAGAGGGUGACCGGGCAAGUUGGGAGCUGGGAGGCGGCCCGGCCCCAAGGGGGGGCAAGGAGGGGGAAAUUGUGCACAAGGGGCGGAGGCAGUAGGCAGCACCGCCGGGUGGGGGAGGAGGGCCUGGGGGUUGAAACCCGUUUUCGCGGGUGAGGAGGGGGGAGGGGGGGUAGGGGUAAAAAAACCCCGGCAAACAAGGUC